rnacentral:rRNA from 1 species
UACGUAGGGCGCAAGCGUUGUCCGGAAUCAUUGGGCGUAAAGAGCUCGUAGGCGGCCUGUCGCGUCUGCUGUGAAAUCCCGGGGCUCAACCCCGGGCGUGCAGUGGAUACGGGCUGGCUAGAGGCAGGCAGGGGAGAACGGAAAUUCCCGGUGUAGCGGUGAAAUGCGCAGAUAUCGGGAGGAACACCGGUGGCGAAGGCGGUUCUCUGGGCCUGACUGACGCUGAGGAGCGAAAGCGUGGGGAGCGAACAGG